UCUACCUUAAAAAUUGCACAAGCUGACCUCAGUUGUAGACUGCAUGUAUACUGCAAUCAUUGCUUCAUCACACCCAGCUGAAGAAACUCACGCCUCAGACCACAAAUCACUUCAUUCAGCUGUAUUGGAACUUAGAAACAUGUUCUGGAGCAUCUGCAAUAUUUUUGUAUCAUUCAAGAGGCGAAUAAUGUUCAGCUCCGGAUAAGCAUCAAGCAUGACUUUCCACAAGCUAGUUCAAACCCGCCAUGGGAGACCUCAUUUAAAAGGUACCGCUAUGUUACUUGGAUAUAUUUUACUAUUGUGUGUAAUGGAUAUUUGUUAUUACACAUCUGGAGAAGCUUUGAAAAUGCCCACAUGCAAGAGAUUACUGAUAUCAGUGACUGGAAUGCAAACAAACCUAUGAUAUGAUGAUUUCCGGCCGGGUGGAAAGCACGGCCAUACUGUUUCCGGUCGCACGAUCCCCCUGCACAUGUGCAUGUGGAACGGUAUACCAAUUAACGGCAAUGUAGAACAGCUGGACACUCUAUUAGUUAGGGUAUAAGUAGGAGGAUUUGGGAGAUGUCUACACGCUUCUGAGGAAGGACUAUAAUUGUGUGAAAUGCGUUAAGCGUAUAAUAUCCCCGCUGUAUCAUCCCGUUGAGGCUGUCAUCUUCAGCUGGUGCCGAGUCGCUGUGUUGGAUCCCGGAUUCUGGAGCCAUUUAUCCAAGGUUCUUCUGUUCAUCUGGAGCCUCCAGGACCCUGCUACUAGUUGCUGCUAAUGCCGUUGGGGAUACGUCUAUGUGCUUUUUUUCAUCUGUCUGGUGUAAGUGCGAUGUAGAAAUAUAU